UACGGGGGGGGCAAGCGUUGUUCGGAAUUACUGGGCGUAAAGGGCUCGUAGGCGGCCAACUAAGUCAGACGUGAAAUCCCUCGGCUUAACCGGGGAACUGCGUCUGAUACUGGAUGGCUUGAGUUUGGGAGAGGGAUGCGGAAUUCCAGGUGUAGCGGUGAAAUGCGUAGAUAUCUGGAGGAACACCGGUGGCGAAGGCGGCAUCUUGGACCAACACUGACGCUGAGUGAGCGAAAGCCAGGGGAGCAAACGGG
rnacentral:rRNA from 1 species